CACAAAUAUGAAAUGAAAGAAUUUUGAUCGCGACGAUCAUGGAAUGAAUACACGUCUGUUUUGUUUUGUAUUACGAAUGUAGAGUACGAUCAUAUCAUUGUGGGACUUUAAGACAACUCCUGAAGAUUAUAUUUGACUGUUAGUUACUAAUUAUACCGGUGAGUGGUGAAUGUAGGAGCGUUCAGUGAUUAAUGUUUUGACUUGUUUACGAUCGUUUCGAAUUAUCAAAUGCCAUUAUUCAAAUCUGUUCUAAUUGCAAUGUUACGGAUUUUGGGUUCCAUGUAUUGAAUAGUUUUUCUCAGAGAGAGUUUGUUAUGUUAAUACUAUUCGUAUGAGGAAAGAUAGC